GAUGAACGCUAGCGGCAGGCCUAAUACAUGCAAGUCGGACGGGAUUCAGGAGCUUGCUUCUGAUGAGAGUGGCGCACGGGUGCGUAACACGUAUGUAACCUACCUUUAUCAGGGGGAUAGCCUCUCGAAAGAGAGAUUAAGCCCGCAUAAAAUCACAGCACAGCAUUGUGUAAUGAUCAAAUAUUUAUAGGAUAAAGAUGGGCAUGCGGAACAUUAGCUAGAUGGCGGGGUAACGGCCCACCAUGGCGACGAUGUUUAGGGGAUCUGAGAGGAUGGCCCCCCACACUGGUACUGAGACACGGACCAGACACGUACGGGAGGCAGCAGUAAGGAAUAGUAGGCAAUGAGCGGAAGCCUGAACCAGCCAUGCCGCGUGCAGGAAGACGGCGCUACGGGUGGUAAACUGCUUUUAUACGGGAAUAAACCCAGAUACGUGUAUCUGGCUGAAUGUACUGUAAGAAUAAGGAUCGGCUAACUCCGUG
rnacentral:rRNA from 1 species